CCCGCCGCGCGUCGCCGGAGCCCUACCCCGCCACCUACCACCACGCUCCGCCUCCUCCCCUGCAGCACUUUCCCGUGGCGCCGCCCCCUACUUCUCCUGGAUGGCCACCGCCCCCUGCUCCGUUGACCAGAACAACCCCUCCUCCUCCCCAUCCAUGGUGGUCGUACCACCACCGCGACCUCUCCCGGUGCCGGAUCCGAUCCGCCUCCAGCGUCGUCGUCCCCGUGGGAUCCGGUGGGGUCCGCCUCCAGCGUCGUCGUCCUCGUGGGAUCCGGUGGGAUCCGCCCCCGCCCCCUCCCCAUUCACUACCUCCCUGCGGUGCCAGGCAACACUGCCGCGCUGCCAGGCCCCGCCCCCAUCGCACCAAUGAGCGCAUCAGCCUCAACCUCCGACGAUGGAUCCAGGCUCCCCCGGUCAGGUCGCGCCCCAAGUACCCGCGCAGGAAAGGUGAAGUGGUGUAGUUCGGCUGGAUGGCCCGUUCCUCAAUUUUGUUGUUGUUGAAAACUGCACUUCAUUAGUUCAUUGUAAAAACUGCAGUUCAUUACCACGAUGGUUAGUGAAAGUGUACCCCGUAGAAUUUUGUGUGGUUCGGCCAGUGGAGAGUGCCGAUAUGUAUGGGUGUGUGGCUGUGUAAAACUAUCGGUAGUUGUGUAUGCUUUGUAGCUCACUUUGUUCUCUUGCGCUGUUCGCUAUAUAACUUUUCCGUGGUCCACUUGGCAAACACAAAACAAGAA